UACAGAGGUCCCGAGCGUUGUUCGGAUUCAUUGGGCGUAAAGGGUGCGUAGGCGGUCUUAUAAGUUUGAUGUGAAAUCCCGGGGCUCAACCCUGGAAUUGCAUUGAAUACUGGAGGACUAGAGUACUGGAGAGGAAACUGGAAUUUACGGUGUAGCAGUGAAAUGCGUAGAGAUCGUAAGGAAGACCAGUGGCGAAGGCGAGUUUCUGGACAGUAACUGACGCUGAGGCACGAAGGCCAGGGGAGCAAACGGG
rnacentral:rRNA from 1 species